CCCUUAGAUGUUCUGGGCCGCACGCGCGCUACACUGAUGAAUUCAACGAGUUUUCCACCUUGACCGAGAGGUCCGGGAAAUCUUUUCAACUUUCAUCGUGCUGGGGAUAGAUUAUUGCAAUUGUUAAUCUUGAACGAGGAAUUCCUAGUAAGCGCGAGUCAUCAGCUCGCGUUGAUUACGUCCCUGCCCUUUGUACACACCGCCCGUCGCACCUACCGAUUGAAUGGUCCGGUGAAAUCUCGGGACGGCGGCUUGGUCGCUUGCGUCCGACUGCUGAAACUUGAUUAAACCAUAUCAUUUAGAGGAAGGUGAANUCGUAACA
rnacentral:rRNA from 1 species